rnacentral:lncRNA from 1 species
AUGACUGGAGCGUCUGGCUCGCGGAGAUCAACAUGGCAGUUUUCCUGUGCACCCGCAUAAAACCGUCCGCCUACUCAGAUGUGGCUGAGGGAGUGGACUGCUGCUGGUCAUCUCUAUCAGAGGCUGGAGUGCAGUGGCGUUAUCUUGGCUCACAGCAACCUCUGCCUCCUGGGUUCAAGUGAUUCCCCUGCCUCAGCCUUCCGAGUAGCUGUUACUACAGCUAUUCUACUCUUCAUAUGUGAAGGAGUUUGGGUAUAAAAAGAACAAAAGGCAACAUUUGAAGACAUCUCAGAAACCAUUCAAAAGGAAAAACCUUGAUGAUUAGUCAGUAAUUUUGGAGGGAAAAAGUGAAAGGAAUGUUGAUGGACACCACUCUCCUCCCCUGGUGACAACUCUUGAUGCAUCCCUACUGUGACAAGGAAUUCGUGACUAAGAAUCUCAUGGAAUCUAAAUGCGGUCACUGAUGGAAAUUUAGGUUUCCACAAAGAGUGCAGGAAGAAAUUUACAUGGCAAAAAAAAAGAAAAGAUUUGCUCUGGCAAAUGGGUGAGCAAGUUUAUGAACUUUGGACAUAUUGAGAUUAUAGUCUGGCUGAGGUAAGUGCUGAUGUGGGCCUAAACCACAGCCUGCACCGUGGGACUGUCACAGAGACACAGUUGAGUGAUGAUGUGUCCCUACAGGCCUUACCACCAUUAUUUCCUUCAUACUUAUUCAGGUGAGAAAUGAUUGAGUCUUGUCUUGGUAAGUGAUGAUGGUGAUGAUGGUGUAGGCCUCCCUGUUGUUCCCGAUUUCGCUUCAGGUGUCCCUGACAUAUUCGAAACCGUGAGUUUUCCCUCUGCAUAUUUCAGAGACAAUGCCUAACCCCGUGUUCACAGUGGAACUUUGAAUACUUGGUAAUUAUCCGGUGUUCCUUCCCACAGCAGUGACCAUGGACAUUUUGCAGGUGUCCUGUAGAGAGAAAUGCUGUCUUCUGGGACCACCGCCCUGAGCUUGGGGGCCCCCACUAGCAUUCAGGUUCCCGGGAGAAAAUCCUGAAGAACGGGGGUCAUGAGCAGGGGACGUGUCUGCUAUCUGGGUAAGUGAUUGUGUGCACCAUAAACUUACCACGGACAACCUGAUCUUCACGUUUGUAGGUCAGUGAGGUUCCUUUCCCUGAACAGUUUACCAUGUGAUGCGUUUAUGGGUAUUCCGGUAAGAAAGGGUAGUGGCUCCUCGUUCUCCUUGCCAUGUAAUCCUAUUGUUUUCUGUCUUGGAGAGAACGUAUGAGGUAAGUACCCUGUGAGUGCUGAUGGAUUGGCACGUAACCAGGGAACUCCAGUGGCACUGUGCAUCACAGGAGUAACUAAGGUGGAUGUGCAGAGAAGACGGCCAGAGAAAAUGAAGUGUCCUAUGAUGUCCUACCCCUUGGAGCAACCACAAGCAUCCAGAAGUCAAGGGAACCCUCAUUAUGCUCGAGCAGGGGCACUCUGCCCAUAUCCAGAGAGGAGACAGUAUGGGCGUAAGCAGGCCAUGGACGAUCCAGUCUUCCGAUACACAGGUAAUCACCGAUGUCAUUCCUGCUAUUUUUCCUGUCCUGCCAUGGGUUUUCUCAGCUCAUUUUCUGUUUUUUAUUUUCUGCAGUUAUUCAGUUAAGAAACAAUGCUCUGCCAACCAAGGCUAGUAAGCAUUAGUCCUUGCUGUGUUCGACUUUAGGAUAAUGUGCAUUGAACCUGAGUCCGUGUUGACUGUGGUAGAUGCGGGUGUCCAGGUGAAUUAUCCUACUCUACCAGACCACAGGAUGGAAUGAUAGUUCUGACACAUCCUCAGUCCAGAGCCGAUAGUGGCGCCAACAGUGGGGUGGACGUUGGAGUUCUGCCAGGAUCUAGGUAAGGUUGAUGGUUCCCGGAUGAUGGCAGUGACCAGCCUGUGCGGUGCGUGUCUUUUUCGUCUUUCAGGUAUGCCAAGUGGCAUCCCGGAAAACACCUGUCAGAUGCGUUUCUUCUGCUGCUGCUAGUCAUGAGAUCAAGGUGGGUCUGAGAAUGGCCAUUCAGAGGCCCUGGAUAGUAACCAGGUAAUGGAUGACACCAGUCCUAUGCCAAUACAGACCACUUGAACUUCAGAUUUCCUGGACAAAGAGGGCACUGUCCUUGACACAGUGUUUUUCCCAUGGUUUCCUGCAGGAGUCCCGUAAAGUUCUCUUCCUGUAGAGAGGUAGGAGAUGUUGUGGCAUUACCUCAUGAAAGACAUUCUGAAUUUCCUGCAUGUAGAUAGUUAAUGAUGGUUUAAGUCUGGUAGAGUAACCUUGUGUUUGGCAUAUGUGUCAUUGAGAAAAAAUAAUUAGUGAUUCCCAAUGCCAGUAAGCAUGAGAUUUUACUGUUUGCUUAUUCAGAGGUAAGGGCUUUUAUUUUUUUUUUUCGGUAAAUCUGACCCUCCACGUGAGAAACAGAUAUGCCAGUGCCCAGGUAGUUGAUCAUAUUGUCUGUCACCCCGAUGUGGACUGUGCUGUUUCUCCAGGUAUCCCUCGGAGGCUCUGGCUUAGAUAUUUUCAGUUAUCUGGGUAACCUGGAUGAGUUGCGAAACGAUACCAAUGAACAAGAGUAUUUGUGGGUGUCCUCGUAGCAUAGGUUGUGUACCAAGCAGAGUUUCCCCAAUAUGUCUUUCAGAUGAAUGUCAGGGCAUCACAGCAGGCCUUUUGAAGCUAGGUAACGUGGGGCAUUGCUGGCUGAGGUAAGUGCUGACACAGGCCUAAACCACAGCCCGCAGCAUCGUACUGUCACAGAGGCUUAUUUCAAUGAUGAUGUGCCCCUACACAUCUUCCCGCCAUGAUUUCUUUUCCAUGUAUUCAGAUGAGAAAUGAUUCCGUUUUCACCACUCCCAGAUAGGCCGGGUUUUCCCAUUUUAUAAAAGUAUAUGCUGAACCCUGUGAGUGUUGAGGGAUUGCAGGGAGCCAGGUAUUUAUCGCUGUGUUCCCCACUUCUGUGCUGCCGCUCCGAUUUCUAGAGAUGUGCAGUUGAGAAACAGUAGUUUUCUGCUGUCAGGGUCGACCUGAGAUUACUGCAACUAUACACAUCGAGUGGGUGUGUCCCAUAAAGAUGGAAAUAAACAUGGGACUUUGUGGGAGUCUUUGCAGAAAACCCCCUGUCUUUUUACACAUAUGUAUUGGUGCCUCUUUCAGAUUCCUGCUAUGACAUCACAGUGAAUCCAACAUGGGUCCCUAUCAGGAAGCAGGGCUGCUCUGCAGGUCAAGGCUGCAUGAGGACCCAAAGCAACACAUGGGCCACUUGAAGUUCAGGUGUAUAGGUAAGUGAGGAUGGUGUCCAUACUUCCUGUUGUUCCCAUGAUUUCACCUCAGGUGUCCUGGUCAGAAAUGACAAAUGUCCCUGGCACACUAGAAACCGUGAGAUUUCCCUCUGCAUAUUUCAGAGACAAUGUCUAACCCAGUGAGCACAGUGGGACUGCAAAUACCAGGUAAUGAUCUUGGGGUUCCCAGCCACAGCGAUUACGCUGGACAUUUUGCAGGUGUCUUGUAGAGAGAAAUGCUGUUUUCUGGGCCUGCAGCCCUGAGCUUAGGGGGUCCCACCAGCAUCCAAGUAAGAGUCCUUCAACGAUGGAUGCGAGCAUUGUGAUUUGCAUGUGUCCUGUUAGAACACUUUGUGUGUUUCUGAGGCAUAUAUCUCAGUGUAGGUUUUCCAGGGUCCCACAAGGAAAUCCCGAUAAACAGGAGUCAGGAUCAGGGAACACGUCUGCUAUCUGGGUAAGUGAUGGUGUUCAUGGUAAACUCACCACACACCAGGCGAUCUCCACAUACCUAGGUAAGCAAGGUUCCUUUGCCUGAAGGGUUUAUCAUGUGAUGGGUUAACAGGUAUUUUGGUAAGAAAGGGUAGCGGCUCUCCGUUCUCCUCGCCAUGUGAUCCUAUUGAUUUCUACCCUGGAAAGAAUGUAUGAUGUAUGUGGUCUGUGAGGGCUGAUUGAUUGUCACAUACCCAGGGAACUCAUGUGGCAUUGUGCAUCACAGGAGUAACUGUGGUGGAUUUGCAGGGAAACUGGCCAGGGAAAAAUAGUGUGUCCUACAAUGGCCUAGACCCUGGAGGGCCUGCAAGCAUCCAAAUACAUUUUUGACUCCCACAGUGAUUAUACUGAGCAAGGCGGUUUGCAGGAUCCUGAUGGAAAAGCUGUGUCUGUUGAGCCAUUGAUCACACUUGCAGUUUCAGGUUCAGGCAGGCAGAAGUCAGAGCAUGAGGACAACAUUGAGGUCUCUCCAGGCGAUUUAUGGACUCUCGGAUUUGGUAGUGAUUCAGGUACGAGAUGAUCAUGGCUCUCAUCAUUGUAGUGACCAUGGUAUUUUGAAGGAAUGCAAAAACAGAUGAUGGGCCCGUCCCUGACCAUGGUAGUGCCCAUGGGAUUUUUUAGCUAUAGAAUGAAAAGAUGACAAUGACCAUCUCCAUGGUAAUGUCUGAAAUUUUUAAAAUAUCCAGGUAACAAAUGAAUGUUUCUGCUUAGGAAGUGAACAUAGAAUACUGAAGUUACAGAGUUAAGAAAUGAUGAUAAACUUCACCAUGGGGGUGACCAUGAUAUUUUCUAGAUAUCGAGAUAAGUGAGGAUGGUGACCCUAACUUGACUACCAAAAUUGAGUUUGCUCAGGUAGGCAUGAAGGAGCUGAUGAUGCCGCUUCCCAUGUUAGUGAAUAUGACAUUUUGUGGUAUUCCAGAUAUGAUGGCGAACCUAAUCACAAAAUAACCAUGAGAUCAUGAGAUUGUCAGGGGUCUAGUAAAAAGAUGGUGGUCCCCUUAACCAUGAAAGUUAUGAUGAAAUUUUGUAAGCCAGUAAUUAAGAGAUCACAGAGAUCCUAACCGUGAUACUGAACAAGGAAUUUUGCAAAUCACCAGGUAAGAGAUGAUUGUGUCUCUAAAAAUGUGGUGACCGUGGGAUUUUGCAGAUAUCCAAUUAAGGAAUAAUGUGUUCCUAGAAAUUGUAGUACCAAGGUAUUCAGCAGUUACCCAGGAAAGAAAUGGUAUGUCCCUAGCAAUGGCAUUUAAUCUGGGUAAUUUGUAGGUCUCCAUGUAUGGUAGGUUUUUCUAAAUCUGAUAGAUCUCAUGGGCUUCUGUAGGCAUCCGCAUGAGAGAUGAUAUGUCAUAAAUUGUAAGUAACUGCCACUACCGUAACCAAAGUAUUUUAUAAGUGUCCAGCUAAGAGCUCUGGCUUUAUGUAUUUGUUGGAUUUAUGACCAUUUUUUUCUGUGUUUUCAUAGUUUUUUUUCUUUUUUUGAGAGUCUGGCUGAGGUAUUGCUGAUGCACGCAUAAACCACAGCAUGCACCAUGGGACUGUCCCAGGGACCUGGUUCACUGAUGAGAUGUCCCCACACGUCUUCCCGCCGUGAUUUCUUUCACAGGUACUCAGCUGAGAAAUGAUUGAGUCCUUACCAAUCCCAGAUUGGCCAGGUUUUCCCAUUUUCUGUUUCAACAAAAGUGUAUGCUGAAACCUGUGAGUGUAGAGGGAUUGCAGGGAGUCAGGUAUUUAUCACUGUAUUCCCCGCCCCCGUGCUGCCCCUAGGAUGUCUACAGGUGAACAGUCGAGAAACGGUGGUUUUCUGCUAUCAGGGUCGACCUGAGAUUACUGCAAGUAUCCAGGUCGAGUGGGUGUGUCCCCAAAAGAUGGAAAUCAAGGUUAUUUGUAGGAGUGCUGGUGGAAAACCCCAUGUCCUUCUACACAUGUGUCUUCUACACAUCUGAUUUUGCAAGCUGCCAGAGAAGAUAUGAUGGUGUCUCUAAAAAUGUCUAAACAUGUGGUGACCACGGGAUUUUGCAGAUAACCAGUUAAGUAAUAAUGUGUCACUAGAAAUGGUAGUCCCAAGGUAUUUAACAGUUUUUCAGUCACCCAGGAAAGAAAUGAUGUGUCCUUAGCAAUGGCAUUUAAUUUGGUUAAUUUGUAGGUCUCCAUGUCUGGUAGGUAUUUCUAUAUCUGGUUGAUCUCCUGGGCUUCUGUAGGCAUCCACAUGAGAGAUGAUGUGUCACAAAUUGUAACCAAGUGCCAAGGUAUUUUACAAGUAUCUCACUUAAAGCUCUGGUGAAUAUAAGUUUUUGAAGAUACCCAGUAGGGAAUGAUGUUGGCCUAAGCCGUGGUAAUGCCCACGAGUAGUGCCCAUAUCUUGGUAACAGGUGGUGUGUGUCUAAUUAUGGUUGUCACCAUGGUUUUUUUGCAAAUUCCAGCAACAUAAUGAAGACAAUCUUAACCGCUCUUAUGAAUAUAGGAUUUCGCAAGAAUUGAGGAAAGAAAUAAUGUGGGCUUUAACCAAGUAGACAUGAUUAGAUUUUGGGGAUUUCUAAAUAAGUGAUCACGGUGUCCCUAACCAUGGGAUUUUGCAGGUUGUAGUCAAUAGGUGAUGAUGAAUUUAACAGUAGGCGCAAACAUGGGAUUUCUUGAUACCCAGGUAAGACAUGAUGUGGUCCUUAAACAUAUUACAGACCAUAUGAUUUUUUAGAUACCUAGAUAAGCAAUAAUAUAUCCUGAAAUCUUGAUGUUACCUUUUUUUUUUCCCAUUUAAAAAGUCGCUCAUUCUCAAAUAUUUGUGCAGGGCUGAUUUCAGAGUAUAAGAAUGCACCAGCGGUUGGCCCAGUGACUCACGCUUUAAUCCCUACACUUUCGGAGGCCGAGGCGGGCAGAUCACUUUAGGUCAGGAGUUCGAGACCAGCCUGGCCAACAUAGUGAAACCCUGUCUCUACUAAAAGUACAAAAUUUAGCCGGGCGUCCUUGUACAUGCCUGUAGUCCCAGCUAGUCGGGAGGCUGAGGCACGAGAAUCACUUGAACCCAGAAGGCAGAUGUUGCAGUGAGCCGAGGUUGGGCCACUGCAGUCCAGACUGGGCGACAGAGCGUCUUUGCCCCCAUCACCCCACCCCCAAACAAAGAAAGAGUAAUGCACCAGAGUCAUGAAAUAAUGAUCUUACCACAGAGGGCGUAAAAAACAAAACCUCAGAAAAUAUUACCAUAUUUCGAAAGACUUGUGGAAAAUAAUUAAGGACCAGGUAGCAGAAAUUGUGAUCAGAGGAAAUAACAUAAGAAUAUACUUAAGCGCACAGUACAUAGUUGGAGGGAGAACUGUUUAUCCUUCUAAAACCGUUACUAUGAUCAACACAGACAAGAGACACUUCCCUGAAAGGUUAAAUUGUUUCAUGAGAAAUAAAAGCAACCAAAAUGAGCCACAUUAUCUACAAUAGAAGAGACUAUAUGGAAAAAGUUCUAUGGCAAGAGCUAAUUCGUUGGUAUACAAAAAGAUCCAUGAAAAAUGACCCAAUUUUAGACACAUUAGAUAUUGCAGGCUCAAAAAUCAAAGGAACAUUUUGAAAGCUAAUUUAAAUUUAAUUAAUUGCUGAAUGUCUCCUUGGCUAGUAGUUGAACGAUCAUUAUUUAGUCCCACAUCUCUCUCGUCAUUUUGUUUGCAAACUGUCUAAAAGCCUUAUUUCCUCAUCUCUUUGACAGAUGACCAAAAUGGAUCCUACAGUAUAAUCACACAGGAUAAUGUUGGAAAGUAUGACUAUCUAAAUUAUUUUUAAAGGCAUUAUUUUUCCCCUUUGAUUUUCAAAUUCUUUCUCAUAAUUUCUAAAAUGGUGUCGACAGCGGCCUGUACUGUGCCUUCACUGAUGUCAUCACUGAGAUCACUCUCAAUUGCUCUCGAACUUGUUGUUGGCCUUUCGUGUAGGUAUGAACUGUGGCCCGGCAGAUCUGACUGUUGUUGCUGCUGCUUCUGUUCCUGCUGAUGCUUUUCAAAAUAGUCUUCUUUUAUUUUCUUCGGCUGUUCUGAAGCAGGAGUUACACAUGAUGUCUUUGGAAGAUCUUGCGAUGUGUUUCCGGAACUACCUUGCAUGCUUAACUCAAUAGUACUGCGGAGAUGUUCAUCUUCUCUAUUGGUUUCUUGGCGGCUUAGUUCAAGGGCCCUCUGAAAAUCCUCCUCAUCUUGGUCUGAUGUUCCAGACUCAUCACUUUCUUCUGAUACUUUUUCAAGGACUGUUUUAUAGACUCUAUGCUCUUUUUGUUUUACUAAUUUUUUUCCAUUAAGUUUUGGUGUAUCCAUCUCUUCGACACUGAUGAUCUGCAGGAGUUGGUCAGCUUCACAGUCUGGCAGAUCACCCUUGACAACAAAUACAGAAUAUGCUUGUUGUUGUAAUCGAGCCAAGAAAUUUGCAAGGCAUGUAUCUGAUAUUAAUUCUGGACCCGCCAAGAGAGAAUUCAAGUUAAACCAGUGUUUUCCAAAUUUUCUAAUAGUAAACCAGUGUUGUUUAUAAUUACAUAUAAAAGAUCUUUCAUUUAUAGGAUCAAUGCCGAGCUUCUGAUAUUCAGGAUUAUUGAAAUGGAUGAUCUCUAAACCCCAGAACUUCAAGGCAUUGCUUAUUACCUGAAUGGAGAAGAAACCGGUAUCAUCCAUGUUUUCUGAAGGCUGCUGUAAAAAUGCAAGAUACUCUUCACUGGUGACUCCUCCUUCUGCCAUUCUCAUCCUCUCUUCUUCAUCUAGCUGAUGUGCAAUUGAGGCUAAUUCCACAGGGCUAAAAUAUUCUCCUUGCAAUAGAUUGUUCAGACAGUGCUGAGCACACAGGAAACCUUCCUGUUUCUCAUGAAAGAUGAAAUCCAUGUUAAUUGUAUCCGUGAGUUUCUGUAGGUAUGCCGGAAGAUGUUGUAUGCCCAGCUAUGGCAGUUACCUGGGCAGUUUGUGGAUAGCCAUGUAACAGAUGUUAGGUUUUCAAACCUUAUGAAGACCAUGGGUUUUUGCAGGUAUUCAGGUAAGAGAUGGUAUGUCACAAAGCACUAUUGUGACCAAGGUGGUUUUGCCAGUAUCCAGUCAAAAGCUGAUGGUAAACCUAAAGUGAAUAUGGGAUUUUGGAGUUAUCCCAUAGAUGAUAAUGGUGACUUGCACCAUAGUAGUGCCCGUUGGAAUUUCAGAUGUCCUAUAAAAAUAAUGUCUCUCUAAUUAUGCUUGUCAGCAUGGUUUUAGUAAGUAAAUAAAGGUGAAAUUUACCACAGCACUAAACAGAAGAUUUGGCAGGUAACUGGGAGAGAAAUAACAUGGGCUUUAACCGAAUGGACACCAUGGGAUUUUGGAACUGUCUGGCUAAGUUAUCAUGAUGUCACUGACCACAAUAAUAGCCAUAGAAUUUUGUAGGUUCCAGUCAAUAGAUGACAAUAAAACUCACAGUGGCAAUGAAGAUGGGACUUUGCUGGUAUCCUAGUUAGAGAUUAUGUGGACCUGAAAAACAUGAGUGACCAAAUGAUCUUCAGACAUCUAGAAAACUGAUGAUGAUGUCCUGAACUCUUUUCUUAUCCAUGUGUUUUUACAGGUGUUCAGGUAAGAAAUGUAUGUGCCUAACAAAAGUAGUAACCAUUAGAUUUUACUGUUUUCUAGUUCAGAGACAAUCUUUCUCAAACUUAGUAGUGACAAAGAUAUUAGCAGGUAUCCGGGUAAGAUAUCACAGAGUUCCUCACCACAGUAGUAACUAUGGGAUUUUUGCAGGAGUCCAGUGAACAGACAGUGUGUGAAACUACUAUGUUGACCUUGGACUUCUCUUGAGUGUCCAAGUACACUUAGUGGUUGCCCUAAUGAUUAUAGUGAGUGUAUGCAUGGAAUUAUCAGGGGUCCAGAUGGAAGGACAUGUAUCCUGACCAGGGUUGCCACCAUAUGUUUUCUCAGCAGGUAGUCAAGAGAUGAUGGUGUCUCUAACUACAACAUUGGCCUCAGAACCUUAAGAUUCAGGUAGAGUUCAUGGUUCCCCUAACAAUACUAGUCACCAUGGGAUUUUUUGAGGUGCGUAUAGAAGAUGUAUCCCUAACCACUACUGCUGCCAUAUGGUUUUGCAAGCUCCUAUCAAGAGAUAAUGGUGAAACUCAUAUUAGUCAUUUUUGUAGGAAUUUCAUGGAAUCUAGCUAAGUGAUUAUGUGGACCUUAAACACAGUACAGACCAUCUGCUCUUCAGACAUCGAGGUAAGUGACGAUGAUGUCCUCAACAUGUGUUGGUAUCAUGUGUUUUGCAGGUAUUCGGGUAAAAAAAAAUGAUACGGGCUCUACCAAUAAGUAUUGGAAUCCAUGAGCUUUAGCUUAACCAGUUUUCUAGUUUAGAGAUAUUGUGUGUUUAACUUUAGGAGUGAAUGAGGGAUUUUCAGGUAUCUAGGCAAGUGAUCAUAACUUUCUUCACCACAGUAAUGACCUUGAGAUUUUUAUAGAUGCCCAGACAAUAAAUGACGGUGCCUGUACCAAUGUGUUGACCUUCAGGUUCUGCCAAUAUCCAGGUAGCAUUAAUGGGUUUGUAAAGAUGGAAGUGACAAAAGUUAUUUGCAGAUGUUCUGCUAGAAAAAGUUGCAUUCUUAAACACAUCUGUCACAAUAUGUUUUUUCAGGUUUCAGUCUAAAGAUCAAGGUAACCCUAACAACGGGGAUUAACAUGGAGCUUUGCUGGUAUCCAGGCAAGUGAUGAUGUGGGUCUUAUCACACGGUAGACAUUGUGACCUUCAGAAGUUUACAUAAGUGAUGAUGAUACCUCUAACAUUUGUGUUACCGUGUUUUUUUGGGUUUUUGCAGAUAUUCAGGUAAGAAAUUAUAGUGUUCCCAUAAUUCCUAUUUAAUAAUACACCCUUGCUGCUUACUAGUGCAGAGAUAAUGUUUUGAAAUCUGGCUAUGACUGAGGGAUUUGUAAGUUUCCAAGUAAAUUAUCGUACUGUUUCUCAUCUCAGUAUUGACUAUGGUAUUUUUACAGGUACCCAGUCAAGAGAUUAUGACAUAUCCAUGGUUUUGACCUGGAUAUUCUGCAAGUAUCAAGGUGCUGUCAGUGGAUGGUGGUGAAACUAACAAUGAUAGUGAACAUGGACUUAGCUAAAAGAGAGGGAAAAGAUGGUGUGAGCCUUUACACUUUGGAGAGCUUCAGAUUUCAGUUAUCUCGGUAAGCGUUGAUGGUGCCUGUAAUACUGUGGUUACAAGAAUGUUGUUUUUAUCAAGAGGCAUUCAGGUAAGGUCAGUGCUAAUAUAAAGGUGAGAAACCAUGUGGCAUUUAUACACUAGAGACCUGAAUUUCAGAUAUCUGGGAAAUUGAUGAUGGUGAUCAUAACUGUAAUAGUUACCUGGUUUGGUACAGGUUUGCAGGGAAGAAAUGAACUUGCUCCCCUAGUAAGAGUAAGCAUGAGAUUUAAAAAAAAAUUUUAGUGACAAUUUGUACUUAACCCUAGUAGCAGUUGAGAAACCUGCAGGUAUCCAGGUAAGAUAUCACACUGUCUGUCACCCCACUAGUGACCAUGGGAUUUUUGCAGGUAUUUCUUCAAAGGAGAGAGGUGUCUUUAUUAGGGUUUAACUUCACACCUCUGGAACUAUCGAUGUAGCAUUGAUGAGUCACAAAAAGAAGUGAUCAAGGGUAUUUGCAGGUGUCCAGGUAUUAUAAGAGGUGUAUGCUUUUCAGGUUCCUUUCAUGAGAUUAUAGUGAGCUUAACAAUGGCCAUUAAUGGUGGACAUUAUGAGUAUGUGGUAAGUGAUGAGGUGUGCUUAAUGCACAGCUGAAAAUAUUUGACCUUGGCAUAAGAAGGUAAGUGAUGAAAGUGCCCCUAACGGUUGUUACAAUGUUUGCUCGCUUGUUUGUUUUGAAGAUAUUGAGAUAAGAAACCAUAGUCCUUACCAGUGUUAGGAACCAUGAGUUCUUAGUUUUACAUAUUUUAGAAAAUGUAUUGUUAACCCCAUGGGCACUGAGUCAUUGCCAUAUCCAGAUAAUUUUCAUGGUGUUCCUCACCACAGUAGUAACCAUGGGAUUUUUGCAGACAUCCAGUCAAGAAACAGUGGCUUCAUCUGGCAACAUUGUUCACCUUGAGUAGUGCAAAUGUCCAGCUAGAGUGUAUAUGUCCCAUAAUGAUGGAAGUGACAAAAGUUAUUUGCAAGCAUCAUGCUUAAAAAAGUGUCUUUUCACACAUAUUUCAAAACAUGUUUUUCAAAUUCCUGUCAAGAGAUGGUGGUGAACCUAACAAUGGUUGUUAACAUGGUAGGUGUUGAUGUGGGUCUUUCACACUACAGAACAUCUAAUCUGCACAUACCUAGGUCAGUGAUGAUGGUGUCCCUAGUACUUGUAUUACCAUGUUUUUAUUUUCAGCUAUCAGGCAAGGGCUUUACUAGUAUAGAGGUAAGAACUAAUACGACUUUUAUGUAGUAGAGACCUUCCUAUUUUGAGAUAUCCUGGUAAUUAACAGUGGUGCUGAGAACUCUGAUACUAAUCUUGUUUUUUGGCUGGUUUGCAUAGAGGAAAUUAGUUUUGUCUAACAGUAUAAAUAAGCAUGAGAUUUUACUUUAUUGUUAUGUAGAGCUAAUGUGUAUUUAAUAAUCCUAGUGUUAGAUGGACAUGUAGGUAUCCAGCUAAUUUAUCCUAUUUUUCAUCACCACAUAAUGACCAUGGGAUUUCUGCAGGUAUCCAUGUAAGAGAGGAAAGUGUCUCUUACUAGAUUUUGACAUUGGAGUUCUGCAAAUGUUCAAGUAAUGUUGAUGGGUCCCAAAAUGACAGAAAUGACCAGGGGAAUGUGCAGGUGACCAGGUAUAAUCAGAUGUAUAUCAAAUAUAACAUUUUUCGUAAUGUGUUUUUCAGGAUUCUGUCAGGAGAUUAUGGUGAGCCCAACAGUGGUAGUUGAUGUGGGACACUGCUGGAAUAUAGGUAACUGAUGUGGUAAGUUUAAAUCACAGCAAGUCUACUUGAUUUUCCUAUAUCUAGGUAAGUGAUUAAUGAUGUCCCAAAUACUUGUUACUGUGUUUGUUUCUUUUUUCUUUAUGUAUUCAGUGAUGAAAAGUUCUUACUAGUAAUAGAACCCAUGAGUUCUUUCUUUUUACCUUUUAGGGAAAAUUUCUUUAACUUUGUGAGUAUUGAGGGAUUGUCACAGUAAUUACCAUUGUGUUUCCCACUGCAUUCGUAAUCAUGGGAUCUUUGCAGUUAUCCAGUCAAGAAAUUAUGGUCUUAUCUGAAAUGGUGUUUACCUUGAUGUACUACAAAUAUUCAAGUAGAGAUGAUGUGUCCAGUAAUAUUGGAAGUAACUAAGGUUAGUUGACAGCAUCCUCAUAGAAAAUAAAUUGUGUCCUUUAACAUGUAUUUUCUAAAGUGUUUUUCAUGUUCCUGUCAAGAGAGCAUGGGGAACCUAAAGACGGUGGUUAACAUGGGACGUUGCUGGUGUCCAGGUAAGUGAUGAUGUGAGCCAUAGUGGUAUUGUUGGCUUCUACUUAGUGUUGUCAGCUUUUGUUUUUUUUUAAAGUAUUCAAGUACGAAAUGAUAAUCUCGUUACUGUUACUAUUAACUAUGUUGUUUGUUUUAUAUAUUAAUGUAAACUUAUGUUUAGCCUAGUGAGUGUUGGAUUUGCAGAAAUCUAAGUAAUUCUUAUGAUGUCCUGCUUGUCAGAUGUAACCCCGGGACUUCUGGAAGUGUGCAGUGAACAGAAAGUGUUUUCACUAACAGUAGUGCAGACCAUAGAAUACUACAAGUAAUCAGGUUUCAGUCCAGAGAACAUGAUGAACUUCAAAAUGGUCAUUCACAGGGAUUCACCUGGUGCCCAGGUAAGUGCUGAUGUGAGCCUAAACCACAGUACAGGCCAUCUGAUCUUAGGCCAUCUGAUCUUCAUGUAUAUAGGUAAUGAUGGUGUCACAUUUUUUUGACUAUGUGUUUAUCGCAACUAUUCAGCUAAGCAUGAGAUAGCCCUUAACAAUAUGAGGAACCAUGAAUUUUCACUUUUUUAUUCUGUAGAGAAUGUAUGCUCAACCCUUUUAGUGAUGAAGAACUGCACAUGUCUAGAUAACUAUCGUGGUGCUCCUCCUCCACUAGUAGCCAUGGGAAUUUUGAGAUUAUAGUCAGGAAAUGAUGUUUUUAUCUGGCAACAGCACUUCCUUGGAGUACUUCAGAUAUUCAGGUAGAGUAGAUGGUUUCUGCAUGAUGGCAGUUAUCAAGGUUAUUUUCAGGCAUCCUGAUAGAAAAGGUUGUGUUCUUCAACACAUAUCUCAAAUUAUGCUUUUCAGAUGCCUAUCCAGAGAUCACAAAGGACCUAAAUAUGUUUGUUAACAGGAGACGUUGCUGGUGUCCAGGUAAGUGAUCAUAUGACAUUGACUCAUGAGAGAGCUUCUAAUUUUCAGAUACCUGAGCAGUUAGUGAUAUCCUUAAGACACAUAUAUUAACAUUGUUUUCGACAUGUGUGCAGUUAGAGAGUUAGUUCCUAACAAUACUAGUAAACAUGAGAUUCUCCUGUAUUCUUAUUUAGAGAUAAUGCAUAUUUAUCACUCCGAGCAACAGAUGAAUAUGCAGGUAUCCAGGUAAUUUAUAGUCUUAUCUAUCACCAGGUUAUUGGUCAUUUUGCAGAUAUGUCUUCAAGAGAUGAAGGAGUUUCUUACCUUGGUUUGAACUUGGAAUUCAGCAGGCAUCCAGAUCCAAGUCAAGACAUCAUAGUGAGUCUGUGAAAGGUAAUCAGGGAGUCUGUGAAAGAUGGGAUGUUGCCGGUAUCAAGGCAAGAGAUGGUGUGGGACAAAAGCACAGCACAGCACAGCCCAUCUGAUCAUCAUGUGCAUAGGUUCCUGUGAACUGAUUGUUAUGAAACUAAAAGUGGAUGUUAAUAAAAACAUUUCUGCUCUAAGUAAGUGAUGAUGCACACCCUAACCAAUCAUGAAUCAUCUGAUUUUUAUAUAUCUAGGUAAGUUUUACCAUUUGAUUUUUGGUACGUAGUCAGGCAAAACAUGAUAGCAUUUUAUUAAUUCUAGCAGACGUGUUAAUCCAGAGUUUGUAUUUCACAGAAAAUUUACAUUUAACCAGGUGAGUGGUCAAUGAUUUCCAUGUGUCCUUGAAAAUAUCUUGUGGCUCCCCAUCAGGGUAGCAACCAUGGGAUAUUAUCAGCUGUGCAGUUAUCACCACCCAUGAUGGUGUCUCUAACAAAGAUAUGUUGACCUUGAAUUGAAGCAAGUAUCUAGGUAGAGUUGAUGUGUAUUCCAAAAUAAUGGAAGCAUACAAGGUUGUAGGCAAGUGCCCGGGGAGAACAAGUUGUGACCUUAAACACAUUUGUCUUAUAUGAUGUUUCAGGUUCUUGUCAAAACUAUGAGGUGAAUCACAUAAUGCUCAGUAAUGAAACAUUGCUUGUAAACAGGUAGUGAUAACUGUUUGCGUCCUGUAAUGGGGGUAAUUACACAAUGCAGAGCGUUGGAUUUUCUAGGUAGGUAAAAAGGGAUCCCUAAUGCUUAAGCUACUGUGUAUUUUGUAGGUAAUCCAUUCAGGUUUUUGGGCUAGUAUACAGCUACCAGAUAAGGUUGUAUUAACAUGUAAAACACCUUGGUAUUUUCGGAUAUCAACUUUAUUAAUGUUUUACACAAUAUUAACUUAAACUUGUUUUUCACAUUUAUGCAGUUAAAAAUAAAUAUGCCUCUAGUAAUACAAAUAAUCAAGAGAAUUUAUUGCAUGUCUUGACAGAUAAUGAGUAUUGAACACUUACAGAGCUACACAAAUCCACAGGCAUCUGGAUUAACAGUAUUGUCCAAAACCAUGAAAUUAACAACUGGAAUUAUGCAGGGAUCUAAUCAAGAAAGUACAAGGAUUCUUAAAAGGCGUUUUCCUCAAAUUUCUACAAGUAUUGAGGUACCUUUGAUGAUUACAAAAAUAAUAAAAGGGACCAGAAAAGAUUGGAGGUAUAUAGGUAGAAUGAUACGUGUACCAGUCACACUGUUCACAAUAUAUAUUUCAGAUUUACAUUAACAUAUCGCAGCAAGCCUGUCAAAGCUAGGUAACAUGGGACAUUGCUGGCAGAGGUAAGUGCUGAUGCGGGCCUUAACUACAGCCCGCAGCGUGGGACUGUCACAGAGACUAGUUCAGUGAUGAUGUGUCCCUAAACGUCAUCCCGCCAUGAUUUUUUCCCAGGUAUUCAGGUGAGAAAUGAUUGAGUCUUAACCAAUCUCAGAUAGGCUAGGUUUUCUAAUUUUCUCUUUCACCGAAAGUGUAUGCUGACCCUGUGAGUGUUGAGGGAUUGCAAGUAACCAGGUAUUUAUCACUGUAUUACCCACCCCCAUACUGCCCCUGGGAUUUGUGGAAGUGUCCAGUUGUGAAACGGUGGUUUUCUGCUAUCAGGGUCGACCUAGGAUUACUGCAAGUAUCCAGGUCGAGUGGUGUGUCCCAUAAAGCUGGAAGAACUCAAGGUUCUUUGCAGGAGUCCUGGUGGAAAACCCUGUGUCCUUCUACGUAUAUGUUUUCAUGCCUAUUUCAGCCCCUGACCGUGACAUCACAAUGAGUAUGAUACAGGUCUGGAGGUCAGCACUGAUGAGGACUGAAAGCAACGCACGGGCCACGUAAGGUUCAGCAGUCUAGGAAAGUGAUGAUGGUGUCCAUCCUUCCUGUUGUUCCCAUGAUUUCACUUCAGUUGUCCUAGGAAAAAAUGGUAAGACUCCCUGGCAUAGUAAACUGUGAGUUUUCCCUCUGCAUAUUUCAGAGACAAUGACUAACCCUGUGAGUGCAGUGGGACAGCAAAUACCAGGUAAUGAUCUGGCUUUCCCAGCCACAGCAGUGACCGUAGACAUUUUGCAGGUGUCCUGUAGAGAGAAAUGCUGUCUUCUGGGACCACGGCCCUGAGCUUGGGGACCCUGUCAGCAUCCAGGUUCCCGGGAGGAAAUCCUAACUAACCAGAGACACAAUCAGGGGACGUGUCUGCUAUCUGGGUAAGUGAUGGUAUGUGCUGUAAACUCAACACAGACCAUUUGAUCUUAAUGUAUUAGGUCAGUGAGGUUCCUUUCCCUGAACGGUUUACCAUGUGAUGGGUUUAUGGGUGUUCUGGUAAGAAAGGGUAGUAGCUCCCCGUUCUCAUUGCCAUGUGAUCCUGUUGUUUUCAGUCCAGGAGAGAACGUAUGAGGUAUGUACCCUGUGAGUGCUGAUUGAUUGGCACGUGCCCAGGGAAUUCACAUGGCACUGUGCAUCACAGGAGUAACCAUGGUGGCUUUGCAGAGAAGCGGGCCAGAGAAAAUAGCAUGUCCUGCAAUGGCCUAGACCUUGGAGGACCUGCAAACAUCCAGGUACAAUUUUGGCUCCCACAACGAUGAUCGUGAGCAGGCGGUUUUCAUGGUCCUAGUGGAAAUGCUGUGUCCAUAGACACAUUGGUCACAUAUGUGGUUUUAGGUUCCCGUGGAAAGGUCACAGGAAACCUCUUCGUGCUUGAGCGGAGGACUGUGCCUGUAUUUAGGUGGGUGAUGGCGUGGGCCUAAGCAGGCCACGGACUAUCCGAUCUUCCCAUACACAGGUAAAUGCAGAUGGCUUUCUGGCUCUUGUCCCUGUCCUGCCAUGGGUUCCUCGGCUCAUUUUCUGUUCUUUAUUUUCUGCAGUUAUUCAGUUAAGAAACGAUGCUUUGCCAACCAAGACUGGUAAGCAUUAGUCCUUGCUAUGUUCAACUUUAGGAAAAUGUGCCUUGAACCUGAGUCCGUGUUGACUGAGGGAGAUGUGGGUGUCCAGGUAAAUUAUCCUACUCUACCAGACCACAGGAUGGAAUGAUAGUUCUGACACAUCCUCAGUCCAGAGUCAAUAAUGGUGCCAGCAGUGGGGUGGAAGUUGGAGUUCUGCCAGGAUCUAGGUAAGGCCGAUGGUUCCCAGAUGAUGGCAGUGACCAGGCUGUGUAGUGCAUAUCUUUUUCGUCUUUCAGGUACGCCAAGUGGCAUCCCGGAAAACACCUGUCAGAUGCAUUUCUUCUGCUGCUGCUAGUCAUGAGAUCAAGGCCAGCCUGAGAACGGCCAUUCAGGGGCCCUGGAUUGUAACUGGUUAAUUGAUCACAUGAGUCCUAUGCCAGUACAGACCACCUGAACUUCAGAUUUCCUGGACAAAGAGGGCACUCUCCUUGACACACUGUUUUUCCCAUGGUUUCCUGCAGGAGUCCCGUAAAGUUCUCUUCCUGUAGAGAGGUAGGAGAUGUUGUGACAUUAUCUCGUGAAAGACAUUUUGUGUUUCCUGCAUGUAGAUAAAAUUAAUGACGGUUUUGAGUCUGGUAGAGUAACCUUGUGUUUGGCAUAUGUGUCAUUGGGAAAAAAUAAUUAGUGAUUCCCAAUGCCAGUAAGCAUGAGAUUUUACUGUUUGCUUAUUCAGAGGUAAGGCUUUGUUUGUUUGUUUUUUGCAAAUUUCACACUCCACGCAAUAGACAGAUAUGCCAAUGCCCAGGUAGUUGAUCAUAUUGUCUGUCACCCAGAUGUGGACUGUGGUGUUUCUGCAGGUAUCCCUUGUAGACUGUAGCCUCAGAGUUCUUCUGUUAUCCAGGUAGCCUUGAUGAGUCGUGAAAUGAUGCCAGUGAACAAGAGUAUUUGUGAUUGUCCUUGUAGCAUAGGUUGUGGACCAAGCAGUUUCCAUAAUAUGUCUUUCAGAUGUGUGUCAGGGCAUCACAGCAGGCCUUUCAAUCCUAGGUAAUGUGGGACAUUGCUGGGUGAGGUAAGUGCCACAGCCUGCAGUGUGGGACUGUUACAGAGACCUAGUUCUGUGAUGAUGUGUCCCUACAUGUCUUCCCAUCGUGAUUUCUUUCCCAGGUAUUUGGGAGAGAAAUGAUUGAGUCCUUACCAAUCCCAGGUAGGCCGAGUUUUCACAUUUUCUGUUUCACCAAAAGUAUAUGCUGAACCCUGAGAGUGUUGAGGGAUUGCAGGUAACCAGCCAGGUAUUUAUCACUGUGUUCCCCACCCCUGUUCUGCCAAUAGGAUUUCUCCUGGUGUCCAGUCAAGAAAUAAUGGAUUUCUGCAUAGAUUUUGACCGUGUAUCACUGAAGUUGUGCAGAUAUUCCGAUAAGAAAUGUAGAGUCCUGGCUGAGCGCAGUGGCCCACGCCUGUAAUCCUGGCACUUUGGGAGGCCGAGGCUGGUGGAUCACAAGAUUCCUGGAAGAAAUCCCAAUGAACAGGGGUCAUUAUCAGGCCACAUUUCUGGUAUCUGUGGUAAGUAAUGAUGUUCACUUUAACCCCAUCACAGACCAUUUGAUCUUCAUAUAUCUAGGUAAGUGAUGUCUGUUUACGUGAACUGUUUAUCAUGUGCUUUUAUAACAGUGAUUUUUGUAAGUAAUGACAGUAUUUCUAGUUCUAGUGACCAUGUUAUAUUGUUUUUAAUUUAGAGAAAACUUAUGGUUUACGCUGUGAGUAUCAAAUGAUUUGCGUGUACACAGAUAACAACGUGGUGUGCUUCAUAGUAGUAACUGUGGUAUCCUUGCAGAUAGGUAGUCAAGAAAAAAUGGUGUGUCCUUCAAGGUUGUAGACCUUGGGAAUACUGCAAAAUUCCAUGUAGAUUUAUGUCUUCUGCAAUGAUGACAGCCAACAAGUUAUUUGCAGGGUUCUGGUGGAAGAGUUGUGUCCACAGACACAUUUGUCAUAAUGUGGUUUCAGGUUCCUCUCAAGGGGUCAUGGGAAACCUCAUCAUGAUCAACAAUGGGACAUUGCUGGUAUCCAAGCCAAUUAUGAUGUGGGCCUUAAACACCCUACAAAAAUGUGAUCUACAGAAAUGUAGGUAACUGUAGAUGGUUUUCCUAAUUUUUGUGUUGCCAUAUUUUGUGCAGGUAUUUAGUUAAGGAAUUAUAUUUUCCCAACCAACGCAGGUAAGCAUCAGUCAUUAUUUUAGAGUUUAGUUAUAAUGUGUUUAGUCUUAUAGUGAGGGAGGGAUAUGCAGGUAUCCAGGUAAGUUUUCCUACUGUUUCCCACCACGUUAUUGACCAUGAGACUUCAACAUCAUCAAGAGAUGAUGGUGCCACUACAUUGUUGACAUUGAAGUCAUGGCAAAUCCAAGUAGUGUUGAAGGUUCCCUGCUGAUGGAAGUGCCCAGAAUUAUUUGUGUCUUGUCUUUUUUUAUGUAAAACAAAUUGUUUCCUUAAACACACUUGAGCAAUGUGUUUUUUAGUUUUCUGUAAUGAGCUCACAAUCAAGCUUAACAAUAGUCAUUAAUGGAACCGUGCUGUAACCUGCUAAUUGAGAAAGUGUGUUUCCCACAAUCAGACCAUUAGAUCUUUAUAUUUCCAUGUAAGUGAGGAUGGUGUCCUUAACACUUGUCUACCAUGUAUUCCUGCAGGUAUCCUGUUAAGUUCUUUCCUAGUAUACAGGUAGAAGAUUAUGUGAUAUUAACACAUUAGCAACCUUCCUAUUUUCAGAUAUGUAGGUGAUUAAUGAUUUUUUUGAGACUCUUCUUGUAACCUUGUGUUUGUCAUGCAUGCAGUUAAGAAAUUACUUUUUCCCUAACAUUACUAGUAAGAGUGAGAUUUUACUGUGUUCUUGUUUAGACAUAAUGUGUAUUUAUCAAUUGUAGUGAUAUAUGGAUAUGCGAGUAUCCAGGUAAUUUAUCAUAUUGUCCAUCACUGUAAUGCUGAGAUUUUUGUAGGUAUCACUUCAAGAGAGGAAAGUUUCUCUUACGAGUGUUUUCCCUUGGCAUUAUGCAAGCAUCCAGUUACCUUUGAUAGGCCCUGAAAUGAUGAAAGAGACGAAGGGAAUUUGCAGGUGUACAGGUAGAAUGAGACAUUUAGGAAACACAUUUUCAACAGUAUAUUUUUUAGGUUCAUUUGAAGAGGUCACAGUGAGCCUAUCAGUAAUAGUUAACAGGGGUCAUUGCUCGUAUGGAUGUGCAUGAUAAUGUGGGCCUAAAACACAGCCCAGCCCAUCUGAUCUUCCCUUAUAUAGGUAAGUGGUGGUGUCCCUAACACUUCUGUUACUAUGAUUUUGUUGUAGCUGUUCAAGUAAGAAAUGAUAGAGCUCUUACCAAUUUAAAAAAACAUUAUUUUUCUCACUUUUUAUAUUUUAGAAUAACUUUAUGAUUAACCUCUGAGUUUUGAGUGAUAGUGCCUAUCCUGGUUAUUGGUGUUUCUUACCACAGCAGUAACCAGGGGAUUUUUACAGGUGUCCUGUCAAGAAAUGACCGUCUUACCUGACAGUGGUAUUGAUCUUGCAUUAUUACAAGUAUCCAGGUAGAGUUUAUGUGUUCUGUAAUGAUGGAGUGACGAAGGUUAUUUUCAGAUGUCUUGGUGGAAAUGUUUGUGUCCUUUAACACAUAUUUCACAAUGUGUAUUUCAGGUUUCUGUAGUGAGACCCUGAUAAACCUAACAAUGGUUGGUAUGGCAGACAUUUCUGGUAUGCAGGCAAGUGAUGAUGUGUUCUUUAACCACAUCAUAGACCAUCAGAUCUUCUUAUAUCUUUUUUUUUUUUUUUUUUGACAGAGUCUCGCUUUGUCACCCAGGCUGGAGUGCAGUGGGGUGAUCUCGGCUCACUGCAGCCUCCACCUCCCAGGUUCAAGCGAUUCUCGUGCCUCUGCAUCCUGAAUAGCUGGGAUUACAGGUGUGCACCACCACAUCCUGCUGAUUUUUGUAUUUUGAGAGAUGGGGUUUUGGCACGUUGGCCAAGCUGGUCUCGAACUCCUGGCUUCAAGCAGUCCACCCACCUUGGCCUCCCAAAGUGCUGGAAUUACAGGCGUGCACCACCACGCCCGGCCAGAUCUUCAUAUAUCUAAGUAAGUGUUAUACAUUUACCUAAACUUUUUUACUGUGUGAUUUUUUUCCAUAGGUACUCAAGUAAGAAAUGAUAGUCUUUACUAACUACAGCAACCAUGUUAUCCUGCUGUUUUAUAUUUUAGAGAAAAUUUAUGUUUAACUUUGUGAUUGGCGAGCUAUUUGCUAUCCAAGGAAUUAACCAUGGAGUUGCAUGUCAUAGUAGCAAUUGUGGGUUUGUUUGCAGGUAAGUAGUAGAGAGAAAAUGGUAUCUGUAACAGUGCUAUAGACCUUGCAGUACUGCAAGAUUCCAGGUAUACUUGAUGGUUCUUGGAAUGAUGGUAGUGAAUAAGCUUAAUUGUGGGGUUCAAGGAAAAAAGCUGUGUCUACACACAUUUGUCAUAAUGUGUUUUUAGGAUCCUGUCAAGAAGACAUGGUAAACCUCAUCAUGAUCAAGAAUGAGACUUUGCUUGCAUCCAGGCUUCCCAAAAGUUGUUUGAUAGUAUACAGGCAUGAGAUGGUGUGACUCUAACUCAUUAGAUGCCUUCGUCUUUUCAGUCAU